UUAAGUUCAGCGGGUAUCCCUACCUGAUCCGAGGUCCAUCAGAGAAAAAAGAUUUGUAUAGGCUGAAAAGGGCCGGCCAGCUUUCAAGCGGGUGACAAUGCCCCAUACGCAUUGAAAAGACCGGACUACGACCCUGCCACUGCCUUUGGGACUACUGUCCAACAAGACAGGGAGUCCAACACAAGCUGGGCUUGAGGUAU
rnacentral:misc_RNA from 1 species